rnacentral:rRNA from 1 species
UACGUAGGGUGCGAGCGUUAAUCGGAAUUACUGGGCGUAAAGCGUGCGUAGGCGGUUCUCCAAGUCCGUUGUGAAAGCCCCGGGCUCAACCUGGGAAUGGCAGUGGAAACUAGGGGACUGGAAUCUGGCAGAGGGGGGUGGAAUGCCGCGUGUAGCAGUGAAAUGCGUAGAGAUGCGGCGGAACACCGAUGGCGAAGGCAGCCCCCUGGGCUGAGAUUGACGCUCAGGCACGGAAAGCGUGGGGAGCAAACAGG